UACGGGGGGAGCAAGCGUUGUUCGGAUUUACUGGGCGUAAAGGGCGCGUAGGCGGCCACGACAAGUCACUUGUGAAAUCUCCGGGCUUAACCCGGAAAGGUCAAUCGAUACUGCGGGGCUAGAGUGCAGAAGGGGCAACUGGAAUUCUCGGUGUAGCGGUGAAAUGCGCAGAUAUCAGGAGGAACACCGAUGGCGAAGGCAGGUCUCUGGGCAUUAACUGACGCUGAGGAGCGAAAGCAUGGGGAGCGAACAGG
rnacentral:rRNA from 1 species